ensembl:lncRNA
GUGACCCCAGUCAUGGGGUCAGUAUGGAGCUCUAUGGGGUGACUAUGGGGCUGUUUUGGGGUCACUAUGGAGCUCUAUGGGGUGACUAUGGGGCUGUUAUGGGGUCACUACAGAGCUCUAUGGGGUCACAUUGGGGCUGUUAUGGGGCCACUAUGGUGGUCUAUGGGGUCAAUAUGGGGCUGUUAUGGGGUCUCUAUGGAGCUCUAUGGGGGUUCUAAGGGGCUGUUAUGGGGUCAUUAUGGGGCAGUUAUGGGGUCACUAUGCGGCUCUAUGAGGUCACUAUGGAGCUCUAUGGGUCACUAUGAAGGUCUAUGGGGUCACUAUAGGGCUGUUAUGGGGUCUCUAAGGACCUCUAUGGGGUCUCUAAGGGGCUGUUAUGGGGUCUCUAUGCAUCAGUUAUGACAUCACUAUGAACUCUAUGGGGUCACUAUGGGGCAGUUAUGGGGUCUCUAUGCGGCAGUUAUGGGGUCACUAAGCGGCUCUAUGGGGUCACUGUGGAGCUCUAUGGGGUCUCUAUGGGACAGUUAUGGGGUCACUAUGCGGCUCUAUGAGGUCACUAUGGGGCAGUUAUGGGGUCCCUAUGGGCUCAAUGGGGCUCCAUGGGACUCUAUGGGCUCUGUGGUCCCUAUGGGUCAAUGGGGUCAAUGGGGCUCUGUGGACCCAAUGGGAUCUAUAGGAUCAGUGGGGCUCUGUGGUUUCUAUGGGGUCAAUGGGAUCAAUGGGGCUCUGUGGUCCCUAUGGGCUCAAUGGGGUCAGUGGGGCUCUGUGGUCCCUAUGGGAUCAAUGGGGUCAGUGGGGCUCUGUGGUCCCUAUGGGCUCAAUGGGGUCAAUGGGAUCAUUGGGGCUCUGUGGUCCCUAUGGGCUCAAUGGGGCUCUGUGGUCCCUAUGGGCUCAAUGGGGUCAAUGGGGCUCUGUGGUCCCUAUGGGAUCUAUAGGAUCAGUGGGGCUCUGUGGUUUCUAUGGGGUCAAUGGGGUCAAUGGGGCUCUGUGGUCCCUAUGGGAUCUAUAGGAUCAGUGGGGCUCUGUGGUUUCUAUGGGGUCAAUGGGGCUCUGUGGUCCCUAUAGGAUCAAUGGGAUCAGUGGGGCUCUGUGGUCCUUAUGGGGCUCAAUAGGAUCAGUGGGUUCUAUGACUCCUAUGGGAUCAAUAGGGCUCUCUGGACCCUAUGGGCUCCCUGGUCCCAAUGGGCUCUAUAGGAUCAAUGGGGCUCUGUGGUCCCUAUGGGCUCAUUGGGCUCAAUGGGGCUCUGUGGUCCCUAUGGGUUCAAUGGGAUCAAUGGGGCUCUGUGGUCCCUAUGGGAUCAAUGGGAUCAAUGGGGCUCUGUGGUCCCUGUGGGUUAUUUGGGAUCAAUGGGGCUCUGUGGUCCCUAUGGGUUCAAUGGGAUCAAUGGGGCUCUGUGGUCCCUAUGGGAUCAAUGGGGGCUCUGUGGUCCCUAUGGGGCUCUAUAGGACCAAUGGGUUCUAUGACCCCUAUGGGAUAGAUAGGGCUCCCUGAACAUUAUGGGCUCUGUGGUCCCUAUGGGCUCAAUGGGAUCAAUGGGGCUCUGUGGUCCCUAUGGGAUCAAUGGGGUCAGUGGGGCUCUGUGGUCCCUAUGGGAUCAAUGGGGCUCUGUGGUCCCUAUGGGCUCAAUGGGGUCAAUGGGGCUCUGUGGUCCCUAUGGGCUCUAUAGGAUCAAUGGGGCUCUGUGCUCCCUAUGGGUCAAUGGGAUCAAUGGGGCUCUGUGCUCCCUAUGGGAUCUAUAGGAUCAGUGGGGCUCUGUGGUCCCUAUGGGUUAUAUGGGGUCAAUGGGGCUCUGUGGUCCCUAUGGGCUCUAUAGGAUCAAUGGGGCUCUGUGCUCCCUAUGGGCUCUAUGGGAUCAUUUUCGCCCCCCCCCCCCCCCGUGUCGCUGUGACCGGAGGUGACCCCGCAGCCACACUGCGCUGUCCCCGGGUCACGUG